CCUACGGGAGGCAGCAGUGGGGAAUUUUGGACAAUGGGCGAAAGCCUGAUCCAGCAAUGCCGCGUGAGUGAAGAAGGCCUUCGGGUUGUAAAGCUCUUUUGUCAGGGAAGAAACGGUGAGAGCUAAUAUCUCUUGCUAAUGACGGUACCUGAAGAAUAAGCACCGGCUAACUACGUGCCAGCAGCCGCGGUAAUACGUAGGGUGCAAGCGUUAAUCGGAAUUACUGGGCGUAAAGCGUGCGCAGGCGGUUUUGUAAGUCUGAUGUGAAAUCCCCGGGCUCAACCUGGGAAUUGCAUUGGAGACUGCAAGGCUAGAAUCUGGCAGAGGGGGGUAGAAUUCCACGUGUAGCAGUGAAAUGCGUAGAUAUGUGGGGGAACACCGAUGGCGAAGGCAGCCCCCUGGGUCAAGAUUGACGCUCAUGCACGAAAGCGUGGGGAGCAAACAGGAUUAGAUACCCUGGUAGUCCACGCCCUAAACGAUGUCUACUAGUUGUCGGGUCUUAAUUGACUUGGUAACGCAGCUAACGCGUGAAGUAGACCGCCUGGGGAGUACGGUCGCAAGNUUAAAACUCAAAGGAAUUGACGGCUGAGAGNGCGAGGACGACACGAGGGAGGAGG
rnacentral:rRNA from 1 species